GAUGAACGCUGACGGCAUGCCUAACACAUGCAAGUCGGACGGGAAACACGGGAGACGGUGUUUCUAGUGUCGGCCGGGGGAGUAACGCGUAAGAACCUGUCCCCUGGAUGGGAGACACAGCUGAAAACGGCUGACAAUACCUCGUAGGCUGAGGUGCUAAAGACGGAAUCCUUCCGAGGAGGGGCUCGCUCUUGAUUAGCUAGUUGGAGGGGGAAUAGCUUACCAAGGCGAUGGUCAGUAGCUGGUCCGAGAGGAUGAUCGGCCACACUGCGACUGGGAGACGGAGCAGGCAACCACCGGAGACAGGAGUAAGGAAGUCUGCGCAAUGGGCGGUGGGCUAACAGGGCAAUGGCGCGGGGAAAUUGAAGGAUCAGGGGUCGUGAACUUCGUAAGCAGCAGAACAAGCAAUGACGGUAUCUGGGGAGUAAGCAACGGCUAACUCUGUG
rnacentral:rRNA from 1 species